rnacentral:rRNA from 1 species
UACGUAGGUGGCAAGCGUUGUCCGGAUUUACUGGGCGUAAAGAGCGCGCAGGCGGUCGAUCAAGUCGCGUGUGAAAGCCCCCGGCUCAACUGGGGAGGGUCACGCGAUACUGAUCGACUCGAAGGCAGGAGAGGGUAGUGGAAUUCCCGGUGUAGUGGUGAAAUGCGUAGAUAUCGGGAGGAACACCAGUGGCGAAGGCGACUGCCUGGGCUGUUUCUUGACGCUGAGGCGCGAAAGCUAGGGGAGCAAACGGG